rnacentral:rRNA from 1 species
GACGAACGCUGGCGGCGUGCUUAACACAUGCAAGUCGAACGGAAAGGCCCUGCUUUUGUGGGGUGCUCGAGUGGCGAACGGGUGAGUAACACGUGAGUAACCUGCCCUUGACUUUGGGAUAACUUCAGGAAACUGGGGCUAAUACCGGAUAGGAGCUCCUGCUGCAUGGUGGGGGUUGGAAAGUUUCGGCGGUUGGGGAUGGACUCGCGGCUUAUCAGCUUGUUGGUGGGGUAGUGGCUUACCAAGGCUUUGACGGGUAGCCGGCCUGAGAGGGUGACCGGCGACAUUGGGACUGCGAUACGGCCCAGACUCCUACGGGAGGCAGCAGUGGGGAAUAUUGCGCAAUGGGCGGAAGCCUGAUGCAGCAACGCCGCGUGCGGGAUGACGGCCUUCGGGUUGUAAACCGCUUUCGCCUGUGACGAAGCGUGAGUGACGGUAAUGGGUAAAGAAGCACCGGCUAACUACGUG